GGAGGCAGGCCUAACACAUGCAAGUCGAACCGUGGCACCCGUAACUUGCUCUCGGGUGACGAGCGGCGGACGGGUGAGUAAUGUCUGGGAAACUGCCCGAUGGAGGGGGAUAACUACUGGAAACGGUAGCUAAUACCGCAUAAUGUCGCAGGACCAAAGAGGGGGACCUUCGGGCCUCUUGCCAUCGGAUGUGCCCAGAUGGGAUUAGCUUGUAGGUGGGGUAACGGCUCACCUAGGCGACGAUCCCUAGCUGGUCUGAGAGGAUGACCAGCCACACUGGAACUGAGACACGGUCCAGACUCCUACGGGAGGCAGCAGUGGGGAAUAUUGCACAAUGGGCGCAAGCCUGAUGCAGCCAUGCCGCGUGUAUGAAGAAGGCCUUCGGGUUGUAAAGUACUUUCAGCGAGGAGGAAGGCGUUGAGGUUAAUAACCUUAGCGAUUGACGUUACUCGCAGAAGAAGCACCGGCUAACUCCGUGCCAGCAGCCGCGGUAAUACGGAGGGUGCAAGCGUUAAUCGGAAUUACUGGGCGUAAAGCGCACGCAGGCGGUCUGUCAAGUCGGAUGUGAAAUCCCCGGGCUCAACCUGGGAACUGCAUUCAAAACUGGCAGGCUAGAGUCUUGUA
rnacentral:rRNA from 1 species